GCACCUUUUCAUGUUAAUCAAAAUAUCAUAUAAAGAAUUCGUCGUCCCAUUUAUAAUUAUAUAUAAAAAAUAUCAUAUAAAGAUACGUAAAUUAGUACUUCACUUUUGAGCUCAAGCAUUUAUUUUGUGUUUUGUAGUUAAAACUAGUAAUGAAGAGGACAACGAUUUUGUUCAUACUCUUCCUUCUCUUUGCUACCGAUGGUGCGGUUGAGGAGGAGGAAAAAGGUGAACUAUGUGAUAGGAAGAGCAAGUUGUUCAGAGGUUUUUGCUUCUCUAACAGCAAUUGUGGAGCAUCAUGCGUGAAGGAAGGUUUCCUUGGUGGCGAUUGUGGAAGUUUUUAUUACCACUGCUAUUGCAUUUGGUAUUGUAAGGAUAAGCAGUUCUAAAUGCAUCCAAAAAUAUAAUGCUGCCUAGCUAUAUAUUGUUAUUAGUCCAUAAUUAAAUAUAACUAAAAAUAGUCAUUGAAAAUUAUUUAAUAUGAUAUAUUAAUUUUUCAAUCA